rnacentral:rRNA from 1 species
CCUUACCAAACCAUUGCAAACUUCGAAUACCGAGUAGUGCAAUCACGGGAGACACACGGCGGGUGAUAAGGUCCGUCGUGAAAAGGGAAACAGCCCAGACCGCCAGCUAAGGUCCCAAAAUUACGGCUUAGUGGUAAACGAUGUGGGAAGGCUUAGACAGCCAGGAGGUUGGCUUAGAAGCAGCCAUCCUUUGAAGAAAGCGUAAUAGCUCACUGGUCGAGUCGGCCCGCGCGGAAGAUUUAACGGGGCUCAAGCCGUGUACCGAAGCUGCGGAUGCGUGGCAACACGCGUGGUAGAGGAGCGUUCCGUAGGCCUGCGAAGGUGUGUCGUAAGGCAUGCUGGAGGUAUCGGAAGUGCGAAUGCUGACAUGAGUAGCGAUAAUGCGGGUGAAAAACCCGCACGCCGAAAGCCCAAGGUUUCCUGCGCAACGCUAAUCGGCGCAGGGUGAGUCGGCCCCUAAGGUGAUGCAGAAAUGCGUAGCCGAUGGGAAGCAGGUUAAUAUUCCUGCACCUCGUAAUACUGCGAUGGGGGGACGGAGAAGGCUAUGCCAGCCGGGUGUUGGAUGUCCCGGUUUAAGCGUGUAGGGAGUCGCUCUAGGAAAAUCCGGAGUGGCAAUCCUGAGGCGUGAUAACGAGACCCCUUGUGGGUCGAAGUGGUUGAUGCCCCGCUUCCAAGAAAAGCCCCUAAGCUUCAGGUAUUACAAGACCGUACCCGAAACCGACACAGGUGGGCAGGGAGAGAAUCCCAAGGCGCUUGAGAGAACUCGGGUGAAGGAACUAGGCAAAAUAGCACCGUAACUUCGGGAGAAGGUGUGCCCCUUGUACGUGAAAGCCCUGCGGCUGGAGCGGAAAGGGGUCGCAGUAACCAGGUGGUCGCGACUGUUUAUUAAAAACACAGCACUCUGCAAACACGAAAGUGGACGUAUAGGGUGUGACGCCUGCCCGGUGCCGGAAGGUUAAUUGAUGGGGUCAGCCGCAAGGCGAAGCUCUUGAUCGAAGCCCCGGUAAACGGCGGCCGUAACGAUAACGGUCCUAAGGUAGCGAAAUUCCUUGUCGGGUAAGUUCCGACCUGCACGAAUGGCGUAACGAUGGCCACACUGUCUCCACCCGAGACUCAGCGAAAUUGAACUCGCUGUGAAGAUGCAGCGUACCCGCGGAAAGACGGAAAGACCCCGUGAACCUUCACUAUAGCUUUACACUGAACUUUGAACAUACCUGUGUAGGAUAGGUGGGAGGCUAUGAAGCCGGGACGCUAGUCUCAGCGGAGCCAACGUUGAAAUACCACCCUGGUCUGUUCGAGGUUCUAACCUAGACCCGUUAUCCGGGUCGGGGACAUUGUAUGGUGGGUAGUUUGACUGGGGCGGUCUCCUCCCAAAGAGUAACGGAGGAGCACAAAGGUACCCUCAGCGCGGUCGAA